CUCAUAAGUCGAGCUUUGUAAAAACAAUACAACGGCGCUCGUUUCUUAAUGAAAGCACCCAUAGUCGACAUUAGAAGUGGAUUAAGCAGAAGAGAAAUAGAGAUGCACAAUAAGUCUUUGAAACAGCCUUCAUAUACAAUUGUCCCAGCAAAGCCAAACAUAUGAAGCCCUCACUUUGACAGUGUGCAAAAGAAAAUAAUUGCUUUAUUUAUAGAUGGUGUGAAAUUAAGCACACUUAAAAGCCUGGGACAGUAUGGUUUAAUCAACCCCCUUGAUUCAUGUUCACAAUUCACACAGCAACUGAAAGCGGGGGUGUAUUAAAUACAUUCCCUUAUUACUCUAUAAAUGCAAGUGGCCAAGCGGACAAAACACGAGUAAUAAAUUAAUAGUAAUAAAAACACCAACUGCAGGGACAGAUACAGAAAUUAAAAGCCGGCCUGGGAUGCAACUCGCCAUUCGGCUUAAUAAGAUGCAAGACAAUAUUGCUUGGAACCAAUCACAUGCACCUACUGUAGUGUAUUUAAACACAUUUAAUAUUGUGUUUCAUUUGGCACUGACGGAAAGAAUCAAAUAAAUAUUUAUUAGUAUUUAGGAUCCUUUUGGGAAGGAUGCUGUGUUGUUCACGCCGUACAGUAUAACUGUGCCUUGCAGUCCAGUUGCAUUAAAGGGCAAGUUCACCCAAAUCGCAAGACAUUUUCUCAUGUGCCUCUCGUGGUUUCUGGCCACACAGUUUGGGUUUUGACACAUUUUCACUGUACACAUCACCACCACACUACUAUGAUAGUGAAUCCCAAAUUGUUCGGGCUGUUUAAAGAAAAGAUAAAUCAUUUUCUACAUUUAACAAUUAAUCCUUUGUAUUGUGGUCGUAGCUAAGCACUUAAAAGUGAUUAAUACUAAACCUGGGCAAGUGAAUAAAACCAUCUUUUUUAACCAAUUGGUCCAGAAGUCCAAAAUGAUUUUAUUAUUAUAAAAGGUAAUAUAAAAGGAUAUUCUAUGAUGGGUUGGCCUUUAAUUUAUCACUGACACAACUCGCUAUACCUCCCCCACUUCCAAUUAUACAACAUCAGCACGAUACUGUGUUGCACUGAUGGAACUUACAUUUGAAAGCCAAAAUUGCAAAAUCAAAAACUCCCCUAAUUACUCAGAUUUCACCAUCUGUCAUCAAAUUGUCAGAAGUCUCGACACUUCUCCCCCUAUGGCUUCAGACAAGUACGAUCCGCUCAUUACAAUGACAGCCUAUGGCUGCUGGAGCACUAUACAGGAAGUCCAUUCUCAUAAUAAUUUAACUCUCAAAAGGAGAUUAAGAAGCGCAUUGCUCUAUAUAAAGUUGGGACCAUUUGGACAGUGUGUGGAGGAUAUUUUGGAGUCCAUCUCGGGUUUGAGGAUGUAUUGAGAUUCCCAUGACCUCCUGCUUCAACAGCAAGGGCCUUAUCUCUGGAGGGUCAAUCACCAUACGCGUUUUGCUUGAUCUUGUUUGUUUAACUUGACACGGUGAAGAAAGGCCUGACAUUGACCAGAAUCCGCUGCAUUAAUGUGUUUCAUGUUCUGCAUUCAUCAUUGUCACCGAGCUGGAGAAGACUGCCGGUGUCACGGGAGGACAGGAGAGAGAGGGUGUGUGUGUGUGUGUGCGCAGUGAAGAGAGGCGCUAUGAAAGGGAGAUAUGUGUGUGCAGGUGAAGGGAGAAUGCUUAAAUUCUUAACAAACAAUUACAACAAAAAUGUGUCCUACUUUGACCUUUAAAAAUGAAUCCCUCUUUUCAUUUUCAUGCAGUGUGUUUUCAUCUCUCUGAACACUGGCGCUGUGGUUAAAAAAGAAAGACAUCUGGAAAAUAACCCACUAGUGCCAUUAUUUUCGACCCACACAACUUUGAAGGGUUAAUCAGUCUAAAAGGGCAUCAUGUGAAUCUUAAUGUUGUCCUUGUAUGUACAGUAUUAAACAGUGAUUGUUUAAAUGUUACCAUUCCAGUCUUUCUGUCACGGUGUGGGGUCAUUUCCUGUUUUAUUUUGUAGUUUCCUGCCUCUUGUGUCGCGGGGUUAACUUCAUCAAUUAAUAUUCCAUAUUUUUUUCUAAUCUAUCUAUACUACUCAGUGCGUUUCCCAGUAGGCGCUAAAUUGUUUCCAUAACUUUUUCAGGUAAGGUCGUAAUCACGGCAAUGAGUGGAGAGUAAAUAAGUCGGUACAACCACAGAAGAAAACAUCAUAGAGGUUCUGUUCUCGUUGCCAUCUGGAGUGCUGUUACUGAUCCUGCAUAUCAAACUGGGAGAGUCUGAGUGUCAUGGUUACUGAGCUAAAAGAGGAUCAACGGCACAGGGCUUCUAUGAAAGGAAAGAAAUCUAAAACCUCUCCACUUCUCAUGAAGGCACAUCAGAGAAACAACGCCCACUGGUAAUAACCACAUACGAGUAUGUUCGUUCACGCACACACACGCGCACACACAAACGCACAUUGAUCUUUACCAUUAAUAUCUACAUCCAUGGUUAUUCAAACCUUUGAUUCCUUUAAGGAAAUGUAUGAAACCUUUUUAUGUAAGAGGACAGGAACACCUGUGAACGACCGUGAGACACCGUUUGAUAUUUCGCUGCCUUUAUAUCAAAAAUUCCCAUAUUUCCAACCUGACAUUUUGACUCAACAACUCAAGGUGGUUGUGUGAUAGCAGAGUUGACUGUGUAAGGGUUAAAGUACUGCUCGUGGUGAAAUACUGCCCCCCCCUUCAGGCUCGCCACCCAAAGCCACGCCCCCAAAUUAGCAUUAUGAACAAAAUGAAUGUAAGCAAUGAACAAAAAGCUGUUAAGCUAAGCUCACUCGGUCACCCACUAGUGCUCAUCAAUUUAGGUUUUCAUUUUAAACAUCCUCAAGAUUUUAAAUAAAUAGAAACCAAAAAUGUGUGUGAAACUGAUCCCACAAAUGGAAUUUUCAUUGUGUUCUAGAAAGUCCUGAAACCACCAGCAGUUUCCCUUCUCGUAAAGACGCUGUGAGGAACGCGAGGACAGUAGUCCGAUCCACGUCUGGGCUGCACGUCAGAAGACUUAUUAAGGGGAGAAUGACAGGAAGGGCAAGGUUUCAACUAAGCUCAGUAGAAUCAAAUUGUAUCAAAAGUACCGCUCCGCACAGGGCUAAUAAUAGACCAAAACAAACAAAACUCCCGACAGGAAUAGAAAUAUCAAAACAAUGCCUAUUUAGUGCUCAUGCAGGCAGUGUGAAUGGCUUUUGUGUGUUGCUUAUUAUUGCAAUCUCAGUGUAGCAACGGUACAGAGCGAAUCUCAGUAAUUAACCUAUGGUAAUGACAAAAGCCAAUUUAUGGCUCUUAAAGAUCAAAUGUAUCUGGGUUAAUGUGAGGUCAAUCUAAUGCAUGUGCGGGAAUAACGGCGAUGGAAUUGAAGUAGCUGGUUGCACUGGGAUUAUUGCCAGCGUGAAUGGGGCUGUCAAAAAGAUCCAUUCUAAAUAGACAGUAAUGCACAAGCUGGUGUCAGCUGGUUAAUUUGACAUAAAAAACAGUGGGGAUUGGAAACAGGUUUGUUCCCUAAAUCACUGGUCUUUAUUAAGCACGGUGAGCAAAACAGAAGACAAACAAAUUGUGUUUGAACUGUUGAUUACCUUUUUUUGAAUAUAAAACCUCAGUAUAUAUAUAUAUAUAAAAAUACAUUAAGCACACAUUUAGUUUUAACUGUCACGAUCAUCAUUAAAUGGAUUGAGGUGUAGGAUGUCGCUGCAUAAAUGUCCAGGGACCGUAGGAAACAACAACAGAGUACAGGUUCCUAAGUUCCUGCACUGGUAACAGAGCUAAAGGACCUCAUGGCGGCUACGGUUAGUCAGAGGGAUCGAUCACUCAUAUUAUCGAUACACAAUCUCAUCCCAGAGUCAAUGUGACACUUUGUUCUUUUAAAGGGCGUUUCGAUCUGAGCUGCUGCAGCAACAGGCCACCUGCCUCUGUAAGACAGUUGGAGAUUUCUCUAAAGUGAUCCAGAGGUUCCUGCAUUAGCAAAGCUUUGGACUACUGAUCUUGAUUAUUUACACUGGCUUCCUAUCAAGAUGAAAAUCAGAUACGUCAGAGAGGAGUACCGUCUGAGGACUCACUCAUCCCUUUGUCGCUUUAAAAAAAACCAAAUGCGAUUUACUUUCUGACAUCUGCUGCAGAAAGCUGCUGCUAAUUGAAGUCACUUUUCUAAGGUUAUUGUCACGAGCUCUCCUGACCACUUCGUAGGGCUCUGCCUCGGUGGGCAGAGGCCAGAUGUUGGGCCAACUGGACACAUCGAGAGAAAACACGGGCAUUAGUUAUUCAGCCAGACUCCAAACAGAGCCUACUGACAGAUCGCGGCUCCUGGGGAGUUAUGCUGCAUUUGAAUAGCACCUUUUGAUAUUAGAUCAAUACGACGGAUUAACAGUCAAGUCACUCAUGGGCAGAUGCUGCGGGGAGACAGCAUGCUUUGACUGUGAUACAUUAUGUGCCAGAACUAAACAAAGAAGUUAUUUCAAUUCCAAUGGUUUUGUUACUUUUUUCACAAAAGGUCAAGCGCUGUCAAAAAUAUCAGCAUAUUGACCUUUUUAAACAUUCCAGGAACAUUGGGAUCAUAGAUUAUGCUUUCUUCCCCUCUUUCCCACUAACAAAGGGUUAAAACUCAUUCACACCAAAGUCGCGAGGGGCAGUAAAUCUCUGUGCUUGUCACUUGCAGGUCGUUGUACAGUUCAUUUGAAGUUUAACAUGGACUGUCCUGGUGAUAUGUAUGUGUAUUGUCAGGAGGACAGAGACAGCUGGACAGCAGCAUGUUACUUCUUUAAGGCCAACUUUUAUAUUUUUUUUAACCUCAACCCUAUUUUCCCAUGUUGCUCCGAACACCUCCAUGAACAUUUAUUCUUUUUGAAUGUUGUUAUAACUGUGCACGUACUGUUACAGGAUAAACACCUGGCCAACUCUGGUCUCUUCUUCAAAGUCUUCAGAGGCCGGUCUGACAAAAUCUACUGUAGAAUGUAAAAAAAUAAAAGCUUUCUUUGAUUUUCUUUUUAGUUUACUGUGUAUUUAAGAUUAAGAUUGUCAGUAUUUCAUAUUUCUCUUAUUGUCAACAGUUCCUAUAUUUAGCUGUCACUGUGCCAUCAACCUUCAAUGUACUGAUUAAAAGCACAUUAAUGAAUUACAGUGUUGCACCAUGUGACAUUCUCCCUCAUUACCUGAAACAUGGGCACUGUGCAUUUUUUAAUCCCACAAUGUUAUGUUUCCCAUUGAAGGGAUAUCCAAGGAAAAAGCCCCUUUCAAAGACAAUACUGGGUGUGUUUCUUAAGGCAAUAACGAGCUAAGUACUCCAAACAAUCACUUGGAUAAAUAUAUACAUUACUUAUAUUAUAUAUAAUGAUUUACCAGAUUUUAAAAAUAAAUAAAUCGUUUCUCAACACACAUAGUGGGACCGAGACUCGAUGGUCACUACUUCUAAUGUCAACAUCGUUGUUCCUGCAGAUUGACAGUGUCCUUGGAAUUAGGCUUUAGGACUAAAGGACUAAAACCCUCCAGUACCCCGGAGACGUCACUUCUGCUGUCUUAACAAAGAGGGCAGAAAAAGGCGAGUCCACCAGCACGACGCCUACAGUACGAAGACACAUACUGUAUACUUCAGGAAAAGGGUUCCCGACGCCAGUUGUCUAUUUCCCUGCUACAUCAGGAGAGUAAGCGAGCUCCAGAUGCUGCCUCUCAAUAACCCUUUAUUUUAAUAUCACAGCGACAUAUAAAGAAUUAAAUAUUUAUACUCUAUUGUGUAUCGAUUGAAAAAAAGACCUGCCACCAUAAUGGGCUAGUUGAUAUUUCCGAAUAAAACAAUGACACACUCGUUACCAAAGGGCAUUUUUUAAACAUUUAUGACAGCAGAGUGGCUGUGGAGCACAAGGUCUCAUAGGGGCAAUAAAGAGCAUGCAGAUGAAGACGAAACCCAUUUAUAGUUGUUCAAAAUGAAAGUUAUACAUGACAAACAAUGUCCCUUGAGCUGUAUUAACCUUAGAGGACCUGCCACAAUGGAUUCAAACAUCCAAUUGAUUAUUUUGAUGGGUGAAAAGGUUCAACUAACACUUGUCCCAAAUGCUUACAAGUCAGUGGUGUGAAGUUGCUACUGAAUGAAGACAAUAAAACACCACAUGUUCUAUAUCAUGUUAAAUGAUCACAGCAAACUAAGGCAAGAUGUUCCUUUGGCCAAAAGAUUGGAUUGGAAAGUUUUUCAUCGCUUAAUUCAACAGGCCGAGAGAGCGAGACUGAUGCCUCCUUUGUUUCGGCUGACUCAUGGUUUGGGAAUGGAACAGUCGUGUGGUGUGGAAAGAUUACUCCAAAAAAACAAAAAGAGAGACGGUCCACUUCUGCAGCCUGCAGGAACUGAACAAAGAGAGUCUUUAAACGUGCCAGUGUAGUCAUUGGAGAGUGAAAGUGACUACAGCAGGGUGGAGAUGCGCUACCAGACGUGCAGAGACUCUGGUGUGACUGUGAGAAGCUAUGGAGAGCCAUUUCCCUCAAGGGGAGGACUGAGGGGGGGGCACUGGCUGUCCACUAUAGAGGCCAGUAGGUCUUUGGAGGUGUCACCUCCACACAAUGUGACAAACCCCUCUGGUAGGACCCUUCUUCACACUCCCCCAUUUCCUUCCUUUCACAUUCUUAGACAAUUGAGUGAGGACCGCGGCCCGGGCACCACCACAG